UAAAACUAUUUGCCCAUUGAGAUAUGUGGUGCACUCUGGAAUAGAGAUUUCAUGUUCACAUGUGCAUAAACUACGUCACAGGAAGUUUCAUUUCCAGUUUUAUGGUCACCAUAUUUCUAAUCUUUGCCAUCACCUGUACCAAUGACAUGAACAAUAAGCAAAUAUGACACACCCCCUAUGAGCUGAUUGCCCAAGGCAACAAUUAGUGGGGGCAAAGUGUCAGUGCAUUCCCCAUUUGCUGAAAACCAAAAUAAGGAUGCCUGCAUACUGUGCUAAAUAGAGACGGUGCCGUAUAAUCACAGCAGGGGAUAAUGGAAUCACAAAGGACGAGGAAGUAACCAACCAUAGGAUGAGGUUUGCCGCCUUUGUGUGCACAUCAUCAUGGGACUUCAGUUAUGGGCUCCAUGGUGUUGACUCAUGCUGUUUUUCAACUGCAGUGUCUCUUCAGCUAAUAACACACCUCCUGUCGCAGGACUCUCAGGUCAGGCGCUGCUCACCCACCUGUUGCUCAUCAAACAAGACAGCCGUCAUCGAUUCCUCACCAAAAUGUUUGGUGGGAAAAAAAAACCCCACACACACACUUGAAUGAAAAUUCACACUUACUUCCAUAGCGAGGCUUGUGUUGAGCAGUCGUUUCUUCAUUAUUCAUCCUGCCUCGUUUCCUUCCAGCGCUUGUCAACGCGCCGAUCAACCAACAACUCUUUAAGAUAAAGUCCAAACGCACGAUAAGGUGUGCCAGACGACUUAAACAAAGCUGAAUUAGAACUAUUUAUUAAACCAACAAAAGAAAACACUAAGAACAAGAACAGAA